GAUGAAGAACGUAGCGAAAUGCGAUAAGUAAUGUGAAUUGCAGAAUUCAGUGAAUCAUCGAAUCUUUGAACGCAUCUUGCGCCCCUUGGUAUUCCAUGGGGCAUGCCUGUUCGAGCGUCAUCUACACCCUCAAGCUCUGCUUGGUGUUGGGCGUCUGUCCCGCCCCCGCGCGUGGACUCGCCCCAAAUCCAUUGGCAGCGUUCCUUGCCCCCUCUCGCGCAGCACAUUGCGCUUCUCGAGGGCGGCUCCGGGACGCGAUCCAGCAAGAUGACCACCGUCUUUGACCUCGGAUCAGGUAGGGAUACCCGCUGAACUUAAGCAUAUCAAUAAGCGGGGA
rnacentral:misc_RNA from 1 species